rnacentral:rRNA from 1 species
AUUGAACGCUGGCGGCAGGCCUAACACAUGCAAGUCGAACGAGUGGCGGACGGGUGAGUAAGGUCUGGGAAACUGCCUGAUGGAGGGGGAUAACUACUGGAAAACGUAGCUAAUACCGCAUACCAUCAGAUGUGCCCAGAUGGGAGUAGCUAGUUGGUGGGGUAACGGCUCACCAAGGCGACGAUCCCUAGCUGGUCUGAGAGGAUGACCAGCCACACUGGAACUGAGCCACGGUCCAGACUCCUACGGGAGGACGCAGUGGUGAAUAUUGCACAAUGGGGCCAAGCCUGAUGCAGCCAUGCCGCGUGUAUGAAGAAGGCCUUCGGGUUGUAAAGUACUUUCAGCGGGGAGGCGUUACCCUCAGAAGAAGCUCCGGCUAACUCCGUGCCAGCAGCCGCGGUAAUAC